AACUGAAAUAUAUAUAUUAAUAUUUCUUUUUCAAUAGUUGCUCUUUUGUUUUGCACAUGUACUAAUGUACAUACUGGUUCUGGUCUUUUUUUAUGCUAUAAGUUGGUCUUGUGGAGUUCAGUCUGUUCAUUUAUACAGUUUUCUUGUAUCUCACAUGAAUAGAUUCAGAAUAUAACCUUGCUCAUAGCAAACACAAUUAUUUCCAUUCUUACGUUAUUUUCCUGCUGUGAUAGAAUUCAAAAGCAAUAUGUAGAAGCAAGUAGUGUACUGAAUUACUUUGUUGAUUUGACUUAAAUUUAUCAAUUUUUAAAAUUAGAACAUUAAUUAUCAUUUACUAUUUGUCAUAAUUUCAUUUAUUCAUUCACAAACCAACUGGGAAUUUUUUGUAAAUCUCAAAUAUUUAGAUAUUCUAGGUUCAGUGAAAUAUAUAAAGAACAACCAAGCUUUAGGUGAAAUAUUUAUGUAACUGCUGUGUUCUGUAGUUGUUAGACUUAAAUUUACCACCUGCUUCAAUUGUGUUAGGUAGAAUGGUUAACUCUUUAAGCAAUAGAAAUGUAAACAUAUAUGAAAAGUGUAGGAUUUUCUUAAUUGUUGUUUUGUAAAUUUUGAAGACCAUAUCUCCCUACUGAAGUUUAAAGAGUGCCAAAAUAUCUUAUGGAUGUUAUCCAAAAUGAGAGUGAAAACUGGAUCUUUUUUACUCCUGAAUUGGAAGAUGUGUUUCUCACCUACAACAAGGACAGCUAUAUCUUGGAAAGUGUCUCUACGUGAAUUUAAAUGUGAAAAUACUUAGCAUUGCAUUACUUUUAUAAUUUCUUAUUUCCACAUGUUUUGCACAUUUGAAAUUUGGACAGACCAAAUCCUCCUUGGCACAUUAAUUGAAACUUUCCAAACUUGUAUCUCGAUAUUCACAACAUUACCUGUAAGUAUAUGUUCUGCCCUGCGUGGUCUAUCAUUCUAAAUCAGUUUGUGUUGUUUUCUCUAUACCAUAAGUACAACUUUUGAGCAUUUUACCACAACACAAUUGUACAGCAUGCAUUUUUUACUACUGAAACAACAUUUUCAAAUCAGGGUAUUGUUCUUGUGACAUGGUUGGUCAUUUUAGGUUCUUAAUGAUACUCAUCUUGUAUAAUUUUUAAUAGUUCCAAAGCAUCUGUAGAAAGAUAUGAGGAUGUUUGAUUCCGUGCAUUUUCUGUAAUGCACGAGGAAAGCUCUGCCAAGCCUAACUGUUCAUUUCUUUAUAGAAAUACAGAUUAUGCUUUGAAGUUUCCAAAAUCACCAGUAUAAAAAAGAAAUUAAUCAGCUUUGUUUAUUCAAAGUAAUAAAUUAUUUCAUAGAGAUAAAACAAGUUCUAGAAGACAAACAAUAAACAGAUUUGUACAUCUCAUAUAGUAGGUAUAUGUAUGAAGUUUUUUAAAUGUUAAUAAAUCAAAUACAUGUUUCUCAAUAGAUCAAAUACAUGGUUCUUUAUAGAUCAAAUAUGUUUCCAAUGAUAAAAACUACUCAUUUUGUUGUUUUUUUGUCUAGCACAGCUAUUGACAAAACCUGUUGAUUAAUGCCAGUUAAACAAAUUAUUCAUUUUUGUAUGUAACCAUGCUUUUAAGAUUUAAGCUUAUAUUAGAUAAGCUGCUAAUUAUUGUGUGAUUAGAAAUACAUUGAUGGUCAGCUGUAUUGUUUCAUCCAAUGCUUUCUCAAAAUAUACAUUAUCAAAAUAUUUUUCAUUGUUCUAUAAAACAUUUGCAAGUACUUUAGGAAGGCACAUUUGACUGAGCAUUUAACAACAGUUUUUUUGUAAUUCAUCAUAUCAGAAAUUAUCAGUCUUUGAUAAUUAUUCAUUGAGCACUGGAAGGAGAACAGUGUUGUUGACACUUCUAUUUUGUUUGUCAUUAACUAAGAAAAUGGUAACACAUUUACAGUGUUAGCUUUAGUUCUUUAUCUGUCACUGGCUGAAUAUUUAAAGAAAAAUUCUAGAUAAGUAAAAUUACUUGUAUUAUCAAUUGUUUAAUUUUUUUUGUGAACAUCUGAAUCAUGAACUUGAGUUCAAAUUCUUAUGACUUAAUAAGCAGAACUAUUGAUAUAUGUCAGUGAUUUUUCUGUGUCCAUAAACAUAUAAAAUAGCUGUCAGUAUUAUUAUUGUUGGCUUCUGCUCAUGAGCACUUACAGCCAUUGUUGUUGAUUUUACUCAUACAAAUAAAAAAAACACUCAAUGUUGUUAACAUUUUUAUCUGUCCAUGACCAGUUACAAUCAUAAUUACCAUUAUUGAUGUUACUUGUACAGAUGAAAGAACAGUCAGUGUUGUUGUCUCUGUCCAUGAGCAUUUACAAUGAUCAUUGUUGUUUAUGUUACUUGAACAGACGAGAGCAGUCAACAUUGUUAAUAUUGGCAUCUGUCCAUGAUCAUUUACAAUCAUUGUUGUUGAUGUUAUUGUACAGAUGAAAGAACAGUUGACAUUGUUAAUUUUGGCCUUUGUCCAUGAACAGUUACAAUCACAAUUCAUGUUAUCAAUGUUAUCUGCAUGAUGUUAACUUGCAGAGAUAGGAAUAAAAGCUGAGAUGUAACUAGAACGUAAUAUGGAAGAUACGUAUGAAUUAAAAGUUAUGGUAUAAGACCAGAGCAUAAUAUAGAGAACAAUAAAAGUUAUGAAAUGUUAUAAAACAGUAAGAAAUAUAGAAUUAAAACUGUAAAAUGUAAUUACGGAGGAUAGAACUGAAAAUUAAAAGAAUAAGAUGGGACCAAAUGAAUAAAAAAAUUAACUAAUACCGUAAAAUUAUUAUUCUGCAGUUGUUUUUUGUGUGUUCACUGUAAAUUGAAAUACUUCAUAUCAGUAUGUUACGUGUUUAAUUGUAUGGUUCACAUGUGAAAGCCUAUGGAGUAACAAGUGAUUGGUUGUUCCACUGUCAUGAUGUAAUGAGUAGCGUUAUUAUAUGUGUUGAUUAUUUGUAUUCAGUUUUUUUUACUGCUCUAUGAUAUUGUUGAAACAUAUUUUUUUAAUAUUAAUUUCUUUAUUCUUUAAUAUUUUCUGUGGUCUUCAAGGCUCAUCAAAAUUAUGACGUGCAUUAUAUUCGUAUUUUACUAAAUCAAAACUACUCUUCACUGCUUUUAAAUAGGGGAACCAAGAUCUGUUACUUAUGUUUUUUUUAAUUGAAGUGCUUUUCAUAUGUAAUGUUUAUAGAAAAGUAAAUUUUAUUUAUAUUUUUGCUAGUCUAGAUUUAAGCUUAAAACCAGGGAAAAUAUAUCGUUUAUUUUCCUUUGGAAUUUAAUGUGCCUUUUUAUUGUUAAAAAACCUUGCCAUGGUUGUAACUACUAUGAAAGAAAUGAAUUGCUUUUGCAUCAUAAUAAAUAUUCAAAGUUUCAUUUGUUUCUAAAGAUAGUCGUGUUGUGUAAUGGAAAAUAUUUAAACAUCUUCAGUGGUUAUUCACUUUGAAGAGUUGUUUUGCUGAAGUAGUGGAACGAGUUUUGACAUCAGAUGUGCUACUGAGGCUUGUUAAGAUUCAAAUUGAUCGUUGAUGUUAGAUUUUUACAUGACAACCUAGAAUUAAGUGAAAUAGUAUUACAUAUCAGCGUUACAUAUCAGAAGCAAGGUAAUUAAUUGUGGCGAUCUGCCGAGAUUGUAUAUAGUCUUUAUAUAUAUAUAUAUAUAGUAAAAAAUGGCCUUGUGACACCCAAGUCUUAGUUUUGAGAUUUUUUGUAGAAUAAGUAUGAUCCAAUAAUAAAAGCAUUAGUGAAAAGAAUACAGUUUUAGAGAGUAAUUGCUUUAAAGCUGAGUAUAGGUGCAAAAUAGUACAUUUCUUUUCUAGGAAUUAAAAAUUGAUUUUUAUACGAA